AUGGUGGCGAGCCCGGCGCUACGCUCCGCUGCCGCCCGCCCCGCGGCCACCGCCGACCGCCACCGCCAUGCCGGGCGCCGCGGCCGCUUCCGGCGGGAGCAGGAAGGGACGGGGCGGCUCGGGAAGGAUCCCGAGCGCCUGCGCCACGGACGGUGCCGGAAGGCUGCGGGAGGCGGCCGUGGUGGCGGUGCCGGGCGGGGCGGGGGUCGCGCCGCGGGCCGGGGCAGCAGCAAGAUGCUGCCGACCACGCUGGUUAAUUCUGGGAGCCAGGGCAAUGGUGUGCUGAGCCGCAGAGAUGCUGCGAGGCACACGGCCGGAGCAAAACGCUACAAGUACCUCCGGAGGCUCUUCCACUUCCGACAGAUGGACUUCGAGUUUGCCCUUUGGCAGAUGCUUUACCUGUUCACUUCACCACAGAGGGUUUACAGGAACUUUCACUACAGAAAACAGACAAAGGACCAAUGGGCAAGAGAUGAUCCUGCUUUCCUAGUGCUACUCAGUAUCUGGCUUUGCGUGUCUACUGUAGGAUUUGGAUUUGUGUUGGACAUGGGUUUUUUUGAAACAAUAAAACUGCUACUUUGGGUUGUAUUCAUAGACUGCGUAGGCGUGGGGCUCCUGAUUGCAACUCUGAUGUGGUUCAUUUCAAAUAAGUACUUGGUGAAGCAGCAGAACAGAGAUUAUGAUGUGGAGUGGGGAUAUGCCUUUGAUGUACAUCUGAAUGCUUUCUACCCUCUUCUAGUCAUCCUGCAUUUUAUCCAGCUGUUCUUCAUCAACUAUGUCAUCAUAUCUGAUUCUGUCAUUGGGUAUUUUGUUGGGAAUACGUUAUGGCUGAUUGCAAUCGGCUAUUACAUCUACGUGACAUUCCUAGGAUACAGUGGAUGAACUCUGCAGAUCCCUUCUGAAACACUUCUGGGAACUUAGCCAAGUCAAUAUUUUGCCAGAUGCCAUCAUCCACUGCAAGAAUGAUUAUUCACCAAUUCUAUCCAGCAUUUUUGAUCACUGGAUGCAAAUGUGGUAAAAGAAAACUAAUCUACCUCCUUUGUGUCACUUUCUCAGAAUCCUAAUUAGGAAGUGUUAUUCUACUGUCACUGGAAACCAGUAUUAACCAUGCACUAUUUCCUCAUGCAAAACACAAACAGAAGAUGAAUCAUUUCUUUUCCUUCUCUCAAGCUCAAUUUAUUCUCCUAUUCUUCGUGCCUCUUACUAAGUAAUUUGAAAAAACUGCUUAUACUUUCAAAAAAAGUGUAAUUCCUCCAGUCUAUAUAUAUGCAUCUGC